CGCAGGGUGGAGCAGUCUGGUAGCUCGUCGGGCUCAUAACCCGAAGGUCACAGGUUCAAAUCCUGUCCCUGCAA
rnacentral:tRNA from 1 species